rnacentral:lncRNA from 1 species
UUAUCCGUACUCUGUAGGGUCGAAGAGGAAACAAUGGACCAUUUAUUCAUGCAAUACGUAUUUAGUAGAUUUCUGAUUGUGAUGAAUUUGGAGGGGAUUCAGUUGAGGGAUUUAGAGGACGAUGUGAGAUUUGUCUGGGAGAGGUGGAUGGUAAGGAACAAUGUGAUACCGACUUGAAUUAGAUUGAUAGGUCUGCCUACUUACUGGUGGGUAAUUUGGAACGUAAGGAAAGUGUUAUUUUUAGAAUGGCUAAGCUG